AUUGAACGCUGGCGGCAGGCCUAACACAUGCAAGUCGGACGGUAGCACAGAGGAGCUUGCUCCUCGGGUGACGAGUGGCGUACGGGUGAGUAAUGUCUGGGGAUCUGCCCGAUAGAGGGGGAUAACCACUGGAAGCGGUGGCUAAUACCGCAUAACGUCGCAAGACCAAAGAGGGGGACCUUCGGGCCUCUCACUAUCGGAUGAACCCAGAUGGGAUUAGCUAGUAGGCGGGGUAACGGCCCACCUAGGCGACGAUCCCUAGCUGGUCUGAGAGGAGGACCAGCCACACUGCAACUGGGACACGGUCCAGACUCCUACGGGAGGCAGCAGUGGGGAAUAUUGCACAAUGGGCGCAAGCCUGAUGCAGCCAUGCCGCGUGUAUGAAGAAGGCCUUCGGGUUGUAAAGUACUUUCAGCGGGGAGGAAGGCGAUGUGGUUAAUAACCGCAUUGAUUGACGUUACCCGCAGAAGAAGCACCGGCUAACUCCGUGCCAGCCGCCGCGGUAA
rnacentral:rRNA from 1 species